UGCUGUUCAGCACUGCAGUAGUCUUUGAUGCUCUGGCUCUAUGUCAUUCGGAAAGGCUAAAUUAUGCUUAGCAUCGUGUUAAUGGGAUGGAAGGACUGGCUUCGUGGUAGAGGUCCCUGUUAUGUUCCCUCUCUGUUUUGUUUGUUUUUUUUUUUUAACCUAGACAACUUGCUAUACAUGUUGCUCAGAAUAAGAGGGUACGUAAGUCAUCAGAUAGCCACAAAGAAGGACGAUGUAGACUUUGGUGACACUCUGCCCUUUUCUCCAUCCUUCCUAAGCCACUCAUGGUUCAUAUGUAUUGGGGUCAGCCAAUAUUGGUUUGAUUGUGAUGUUUUAUAUCUGUAGUAUUGUAUGACAAUAAUUGCUGUUCUGAAAAAUAGUGUUAGAUACCC
rnacentral:lncRNA from 1 species